rnacentral:rRNA from 1 species
UACGGAGGGUGCAAGCAUUGAUCGGAAUUACUGGGCGUAAAGGGCGCGUAGGCGGUAGGAAAAGUCGGAUGUGAAAUUCCGGGGCUCAACCCCGGAGCUGCAUUUGAAACUCUCCAACUAGAGUACAGUUAGGGUAAACGGAAUUCCACGUGUAGCGGUGAAAUGCGUAGAUAUGUGGAAGAACACCGGUGGUGAAGACGGUUUACUGGGCUGUAACUGACGCUGAGGCGCGAAAGCAUGGGGAGCAAACAGG